rnacentral:rRNA from 1 species
CCCUUAGAUGUCCUGGGCCGCACGCGCGCUACACUGAUGCAUGCAACGAGUUUAUAACCUUGGCCUGAAAGGUCUGGGUAAUCUUUUGAACGUGCAUCGUGAUAGGGAUAGAUUAUUGCAAUUGUUAAUCUUGAACGAGGAAUUCCUAGUAAACGCGAGUCAUCAGCUCGCAUUGAUUACGUCCCUGCCCUUUGUACACACCGCCCGUCGCACCAACCGAUUGAAUGGUUCGGUGAAGAUCUCGGACUUCGAUAUUUAUUCUUUAUUGAGUUUAUAUUGUGGGAAGUUAUCUAAACCUCAUCAUUUAGAGGAAGGUGAAGUCGUAACA